UACGGGGGGGGCAAGCGUUGUUCGGAAUUACUGGGCGUAAAGGGUUCGUAGGUGGCUUGCUAAGUCAGACGUGAAAUCCCUCAGCUUAACUGGGGAAUUGCGUCUGAUACUGGCGAGCUUGAGUGCAGGAGAGGAACGCGGAAUUCCAGGUGUAGCGGUGAAAUGCGUAGAUAUCUGGAGGAACACCGGUGGCGAAGGCGGCGUUCUGGACUGCAACUGACACUGAUGAACGAAAGCCAGGGGAGCAAACGGG
rnacentral:rRNA from 1 species